rnacentral:rRNA from 1 species
UACGUAGGGUGCAAGCGUUGUCCGGAAUUAUUGGGCGUAAAGAGCUCGUAGGCGGCUUGUCGCGUCGGCUGUGAAAACUGGAGGCUCAACCUCCAGCCUGCAGUGGGUACGGGCAAACUAGAGUGCGGUAGGGGAGAUUGGAAUUCCUGGUGUAGCGGUGGAAUGCGCAGAUAUCAGGAGGAACACCGAUGGCGAAGGCAGAUCUCUGGGCCGUAACUGACGCUGAGGAGCGAAAGCAUGGGGAGCGAACAGG